rnacentral:lncRNA from 1 species
UUCUAUACCAGGAAAUAUCUCUUCUUCAAGAAUGUGAAUGGUGAAUUUGUGCUUUUUCUUUGCAGAUGCCCACCCUGUGUCAUUUUGAAUUUGAAUUUUGAAGAUAGUGUGAACCUGCAGCAACUCUUAUAAACUUCAUCAACAGCUGGGAGGAUCCAUCUUAUGGCAAGCAGCGAGGAAAAGAAUGUUUCGAGAUAACCACUUCUCUACAAUUACUUGGAAGAUGGCAAAGGAUAAUUCAGAAGCUUUGAUGAGUUUCCCCCCUGCCUAGAUUCAGCUGGUUUGAACAAAAUCAAAACAGCAUCUUUAAGCCAUAUUUCUGGUUUACAUCAAUCCAUUCAGGGAGUAGCCAUGAUGCUUCACUCAGCUGAUGUUUUAAAUAUAAAAUCUGAAGUAUUGUCAGGGAAGCAUGUCAUUGUGAUAUAAGGUUUUCAUAAGUCACAGAAGAAGUUCUUCAGUAAAGUUAAUUAACAAACUAAUGGAAAUUACAAGCAACCUGAAGAUUUUCCAGUAAGAAGAGGUCAGUAAAUCAGUAAUUGUCUCUGACAUGUAUAUCCAUAAAGACUUCGAAGUGACUAAAUUGGUUUAUUAAAAUGUGCUCUGGAGUGACCAUUACCAUAUUCUUUAUACAUUAUGAAUUAAGUCUUUCUUUUUUUUAAUUGCUUGAAAUAAAUGUGUAUUUAGGAAAAUUAGUGGAAAUGCA